GACGAACGCUGGCGGCGUGCUUAACACAUGCAAGUCGAACGGUGAAGCGCCUUCCUUUUUGGUGGGUGUGGAUGAGUGGCGAACGGGUGAGUAACACGUGAGUAACCUGCCCCCUUCUUCUGGAUAACCGCAUGAAAGUGUGGCUAAUACGGGAUAUUCUGGGUCUGUCGCAUGAUGGGUCUGGGAAAGAUAUUGUUUCGGUGGGGGAUGGGCUCGCGGCCUAUCAGCUUGUUGGUGGGGUGAUGGCCUACCAAGGCGGUGACGGGUAGCCGGCCUGAGAGGGUGGACGGUCACACAGGGACUGAGACACGGCCCAGACUCCUACGGGAGGCAGCAGUGGGGAAUAUUGCACAAUGGGCGCAAGCCUGAUGCAGCGACGCCGCGUGAGGGAUGGAGGCCUUCGGGUUGUGAACCUCUUUCGCCAGUGAAGCAGGCCUGCCUCGUUUGUGGGUGGGUUGACGGUAGCUGGAUAAGAAGCGCCGGCUAACUACGUG
rnacentral:rRNA from 1 species